AGUUUCAUAUGGGGGAAAAAAUAAGGUUUUCAGGAGUUUUACAAAAAGUCCACUCCUAUUUGUGUGUUUCUUUUGGGUUGUCGGUGAAUAGCCAGCUCACACGUGAUGCAAAGCCAUGGUUUGUUUUACAAACCACAAAUUAACCACAAGUUGUUCCACAACGCUUGUUUCUCCAAAGUUUUCUUUGUUUUCCAGGUGUUCUUGCCUCAUGCCCUUGUAGUUUAGUGAAUGUCUGGACUGGAGUUUCCAAACAAGCCAUGGUUAAGGAAGGUCACUGGGUUCAGUUUAAUAAACUAUGGCCAGGUUUUAUGCGUAAAGCAGUGUGCUGCUUAAUCUGACCAUCUCUGAAAAUGUUGGACUGAAUAACAAACUCUGAGCAUAUUUACAUCACAGGUAAACAUUGAAAAUGGAAGGGAGAUAGUAAUUUGUAUGAUAAAGAGGAUGAGGGAGGAUGAGAGUGCUAAUGGAGCACUCCCUAUCUCAUGCCCAGGUUUACACAUACUACUACACCAUGGUUUAUGAAACAAUGGUUUAUUAAAUCAAGGUUUUGUGUUAUGUACAAACCCUGCCAAAAAGCUUAACUAUGGUUUGCCUUUUGCCUGAAAAUUAUGAACUGAAGCCAUGGUUUCUUGUUAGUUUAUGAACCUUAGUUUAACCAUGGCUUGGCAUUGUGUGUGAACCCAGUAGCCUUCCUUAACCAUGGUUUGUUUGGUACCAGACACUCGCUAAAUUACAAAGACACAAGGCAGGAGCUGCUAGGAAACAAAUAUGAUGUUAGAAAACUUUGUUUGAUGGUUUGUGGGAAACUUGUGGUUAGUUAAGCAAAUAAUGGCUUGUGUUAUAUGCGAACCAGUCAUAGAUGAAAGAUCAGGAAAUGUUAUAAUUACACUGGGCCCGUAAGUUGGGGUCCUCCAUUGUCAGUUGUUGAUUGAAGAAAGCGCCAAACACUCAACUUCAGUUCCUACUUGUGACACUCUAGAGAAUUCUUCUAUUUCCUUUGUGCCGAAAACAGAUACCUGAAAGCGACUUUGUCCUUCUCAAGACAAUUAAUUGAACUGACAGCCUUGUCCUAGCAACCCAAGAUUUGUCAACAAUGUUGGAAAACCAGUUUUUGUAAAAGACACCUUUGUCGUUUCAAAUGUCAUUGGCUACUUUUUAAAGUGUAAUUGUGUCAGUAAUGAAUAUUGUGACAUUGUGUUCCCUUUCUAAAAAAUUUUUUUGGAAGAGCAGUUGGUGGUAAUUUUUCAGCACAGCAGAAAAACAGUGCAGAUAGAAAAGGGCAUUGCUGCAGUUACAGUUGUGGUAGAAUCCUCAUCUUGUAAACAGCAGGAAUACUGCAGCUGUUGUGGAAGCACAUUAGACUCUCUUAAAUUUCUGUUUUUUUAUUUCCUUGUGGCAUAUCCAGACUUUCUCAUUUGAGGGCUGAGAAGCCGAGCAUGUUGAGUUCGGAUGAGUCCCUCUGCCCUUCAGUGCCCAUUUGGUGUUUAUCAUGCCCUGAAGGGUUAACAGACAUAAUUUUCAGAACAGAACUGAGUGCCUCUUAUAAAUGCAUAAAUUCUGGAGACUAGCAGGAAAAAGCUUUUGGUGUAUUCUUCCACAGUAACGUUGUUGUUGUUGUUUGUUGUUGUUGUUAUGUUUAGCUUAUUACAGCAUAGAAAAGGCCAGGGGUGUCUGUUCCCAGAUAGUGCCAGUUUUGUGCUGGGACACAGUGUUAGUGUCAUCGUUUGGGGGGGUGGGCAGGUUGUGAGAAGCCCAUCACCACCAGUAGGCUUAUGCCUGGCUGAAUUGUGCCCUUGACCUGCGAUAAUGCCUCUUCCUACAUUUAUGGAGGAGCGGAGAGAUGUGCAUGAAGAACCUUCCGAGCUCUGCAUGGCUGGAAUGGAGGCAAUUGUCCAGAGGUAAUUGUCACCUCCAUUGUCCUGCCCACAGCGGCUGCUGGCUUUGUGCUCCACUGCCAUAUGGACUUUGGAAGGUUUCCGCCAAGGGAAUGCGGGCCUUGGCUGAAAACUGCUUCGAAUCUCUGGUUCAGAUGGUCACAAGCAAAUCGGCACCGAUCCUUUGCUCACACAUUGCUUGCCCUCUCCUUUGCUUUGCGGACAAGGGAAGGAUAAGGCCCCAUCUGCACCACGCAUUUAAAGCAGUGUCCUAGUGCUUUAAAUAACCAUGGCUUCCUGCAAAGAACCCUGGGAAAUGUGGUUUGUUAAGGAUGUUGAGAGGGUUUAGGAGACCCCUGUUCCCCUUAGAGAGCUACAAUUCCCAGAGUUCCCUGGGAGGAGGGAUUGAUUGUGAAACCACUCUGGAAACUAGCUCUGUGAGGGUCUCCUAGCUACGCUCAGUCAACAAAUAGCAAACCAUAGUUCCCAGGAUAGUUUGACAGUAAAUGUGCUAUAAUAGUAGUUUAAAUGCAUAGGGCAAAUGUGGCCCAAUCAGUGUGUCCCAUUACACACAAAUCAGGGAAACGAUGCUUUAUUCUAACUCAUGUUUGCUAAAACAAACCGGAAUCCAGCAGUGGCUUGGCAUAAUUCUUUUGCUAAAUUAGUAUGAACUGCAGUUUCCCACAGUUCAGUAGUGAAGGAAGCAGAGAUUCUCUACUGGAGAUCUUUGGACACUGUGUUCCACAUUGCCAUUUUGGAGAAUCAAAGAAAGGUAUACCUUUUUCAGCUUGGCUUUCCUUUCUGAUUCUGGAGCGCUGCAUUUCAUUUCUCUUUCUCCCCUCACCCCUUGUCCUUGC